UACGAAGGGGGCUAGCGUUGUUCGGAAUCACUGGGCGUAAAGGGCGCGUAGGCGGCCAUAUAAGUCGGGGGUGAAAGCCUGUGGCUCAACCACAGAAUUGCCUUCGAUACUGUAUGGCUCGAGACCGGAAGAGGUAGGUGGAACUGCGAGUGUAGAGGUGAAAUUCGUAGAUAUUCGCAAGAACACCAGUGGCGAAGGCGGCUUACUGGUCCGGUUCUGACGCUGAGGCGCGAAAGCGUGGGGAGCAAACAGG
rnacentral:rRNA from 1 species